ensembl:lncRNA
UUUGCUGUAGGCAGUUCCAAGGGACUUUGCUUCAUACAUUCAGACUUGUGCAUGGCCAUAUGCAUUUAUCACAGCACACAGCAAUUACUGGCACUGCUCUUUGAGGUGCCAGCAACUGCCCUCUUGCUCCAAGUGAAAGGAGUUAAAGACUCAGUUUUGGGCAUGGUGGCUGGGAUUAAAUCACCUCUGACGCACUUCCUUCUGUGGGUGACAGCCAGUUCCUCACUGUGUUUCCAGGUCCUGCACGGAAACCCCUGGGACGGUGAUGAUGGUCUGGUGAUGGCACACUGCUGGCAACAUUCUCUUGUGGUGAACACAGAAAGACCCCUUCCUAAAGCAGACAGCAAAGAAAACCAGCAGUAUCACCUCAGUCUGCUCAGCCUGCUGAUUAAAGGACUGGGAAUAUGGAAAGAGGGAAAACGGGUGCUGCUGGCUGCAUGCAAACACCAGAGUGCUACAGCACUCUACCUGGAACUCUCUGCAGUGUUGUACAGAACCAAUGAUGUUUCAACUUCUGGUACUGCGCUGUCAGUGACGGGGGCUUCAGGGCACAGCAGACAGACCACGACAGCUGACCUGAACUGGCCAAAGGGAUACUUCAUGCAGUAUAGCAUCA